UACGUAGGGUGCAAGCGUUGUCCGGAAUUAUUGGGCGUAAAGGGCUCGUAGGCGGUCCAUCACGUCGGGAGUGAAAAGCUGGGGCUUAACCCCAGUCCUGCUUCCGAUACGGGUGGACUAGAGGUAGGCAGGGGAGAACGGAAUUCCUGGUGUAGCGGUGAAUGCGCAGAUAUCAGGAGGAACACCGAUGGCGAAGGCAGUGAUCUGGGCCGGUACUGACGCUGAGGAGCGAAAGCGUGGGUAGCAACAGAUGAUG
rnacentral:rRNA from 1 species